rnacentral:rRNA from 1 species
AUGCGUCUGAUCUCUUAUUUCGGUAUCUCCCCGGUCCAUUCUUCUUCCCUCCCAAAUCCCACGCCCCAACCCAAAUCAAACCCAACCCGCCGUUCCUCUCCGCCAAAAACUCCACAAAAGCAAAGCCGCAUCCCCCACCCAAAUCCAACCCCACAGGCUAAACCCCGCCACGCCCGCCCGCCGGUCCCCAUGGACUCCUCCUCCACCUCCGGGUCCGGGGCCGCCGUCGCAGGGCCCGAGCCGACGUCAAGCCGCCGCGCCAGCUACGGCCCGGUCCUCGAGGACGAGCCGCCGCGCCUCCGCUUCACCGUCGGGCAGUACCCGACCAGGUUCCCGCUGGCGGACGCCCCCGGCUUCAUCUCCUCCAUCGGCGCCGCCCUCGCCCGCCACGCCGACGCCGACGCGCAGGUCGAGCCGCUCGAGAUCUCCCUCGUCUUCCGCGCCCCGCACCAGCACUACAUCGCCAGCCUCGGCGCGUACGCCACGGAGCACCCCCACGCCGCGCUCGUCACGGCCGACCACGUCCGCGCGUGGCUGCGCUUCGGCAUGGCCCGCGCCGCGGGUUCCUUCGUGCUCGAGCUGCCACCACGCCCGCGGUCGACGACCGAGGAGAGCGCGUCGGGUGCGGCGGCGGAAGCAGAGAAGAACGGCGUGGCUCUGGAGCUGCCGCGCUCGGCCGCGUCGGCGAUCGUGGCGCUGACCCUGGGCGACGCCACCCUCGCGCUCCCCGCGCCCGCGGACGCCUCGUUCCACGCGCUCGCGGAGCUGCUGCUCAGCAACGCCCGGAUCAGCGACCAGCACCGCCUCAGCGGGCUCCUCUCGUCCCCGUCCUUCCCUCGCCUGAAGAGGCUUCGGCUCGAGCACCUGGCGGGCGUGGGGGAGCUGGACCUCUGCGUCGGCGACCUCGAGGAGCUGGCGAUCGUGGGCGUGCGCGACCUGUGGUGCCUGCAGGUGAGCGCGCCACGCCUGCGCGCGCUCCGCGUCACCGAGUGCUUCAGGCUGGAGUCCAGCGCAGGGGAGCUGGCGAUCGCCGCGCCGGCGCUCGAGGCGCUCACGUGCUCCAGCAUGUGCAGGAUGCAGGGCCUGCAGUUCGACAGCGGGCCGUCCGUUCGGGAGAUCGGGGGGCUUCCCCUGUGGACGCACGGGCACGCCAACCAUGCCGCCCGCAACGAGGCCGCCAUAUCGAUCCCGAAGCAAUGCACCGCCGCGCACCGCCUUAACCUGGACCUACAUGUGCCCAGCUAUAUGAGGGAGGCCCUGGUGGAUGGUAUGGAUUCAGGGAUGGCGGAUUGUGAGAGCAUACUAGUGGAUGACAUACCACAGCUACUUAACAUCACUGCUCUGAGGGUCAAUAUCUCAACAUGGAAGGGGCAUUCAUAUGCUGCCAGUUUGGCAAGGCUCAUUGCACAGUGCAGCAAUCUGGAAGAUCUCCGCAUUGAAGUCACGAGAGGCACCGAGAAGCCGGCAUGCUUGGAUCGAGCUUGCGUCUGCCACGACGAAGACGGCUGGGAGAACCAGCAGCUCUCACUGGAGCGCCUUGUACACUUGAACAUCACCGGGUUCCAGGGACUGGACUACGAGGAGCGCCUGGCUCAGAUGAUACUGGCAGGCACCCCAGCUCUCAAGAGAGAAUGA